ACUUAACAAACCGUACCAAACCAACACAGGUGGGCAGAUCUAGUACAUUAAGGUGAUCGAGAUAACGGCACUUAAGGAACUCGGCAAAUUGACCCUGUAACUUCGGGAUGAGGGGGGCCUUGGUAACACAAGGCGUAUAAGACAAAGGAGGAGCAACUGUUUAUUAAAAACACAGGACCCUGCGAAAUGGAAACAUGACGUAUAGGGUCUGACGCCUGCCCGGUGCCAUUGGGCGAAAGCGAGGCGUAUACGCGCUUAGCAUAAGCCUCGGCAAACGGCGGCUGUAACUCUGACGGUCCUAAGGUAGCGAAAUU
rnacentral:rRNA from 12 species